GGCGAUUUAGCUCAGUUGGUUAGAGCGUGUGCUUAACACUUUGGACUCGAACGAGUCGAAUGUUGCGCACAAGGUCGGCGGUUCGACCCCGUCAAACGUCA